AGAGUUUGAUCCUGGCUCAGGACGAACGCUAGCGGCAGGCCUAACACAUGCAAGUCGAACGGUAAGGUCCCUUCGGGGAUACACGAGUGGCGCACGGGUGCGUAACACGUAUAUAACCUACCCAUAAGCGGGGGAAAGUCGCGGGAAACUGCGAAUAAUACCCCAUAAGAUCUUAAGAUGGCAUCAUCAAGAGAUAAAAGCUCCGGCGCUUAUGGAUGGGUAUGCGUCCCAUUAGCUAGUUGGUAAAGUAACGGUUUACCAAGGCAACGAUGGGUAACUGGUCUGAGAGGAUGAUCAGUCACACGGGCACUGAGACACGGGCCCGACUCCUACGGGAGGCAGCAGUGAGGAAUAUUGGACAAUGGGGGCAACCCUGAUCCAGCCAUGCCGCGUGGAGGAAGAANGNUCUCUGAAUCGUAAACUCCUUUUGUNNNGGAAUAANGANUUGCUNUAUGCANGNUUGNAGGUACCUGANNAANAAANANNGGCNAACUACGUGCCNGCAGCCGCGGUAAU
rnacentral:rRNA from 1 species